rnacentral:rRNA from 1 species
AUUGAACGCUGGCGGCAGGCCUAACACAUGCAAGUCGAACGGCAGCACAGAAGAGCUUGCUCUUUGGGUGGCGAGUGGCGGACGGGUGAGUAACACGUAGGAAUCUACCCAGUAGUGGGGGAUAACCUGGGGAAACCCAGGCUAAUACCGCAUACGCCCUGAGGGGGGAAAGCGGGGGAUCUUCGGACCUUGCGCUAUUGGAUGAGCCUGCGUCGGAUUAGCUAGUUGGUGGGGUAAGGGCCCACCAAGGCGACGAUCCGUAGCUGGUCUGAGAGCAUGGCCCCCACCACUGGGACUGAGAUACUGCCCAGACACCUACGGGUGGCUGCAGUCGAGAAUCUUCGGCAAUGGGCGCAAGCCUGACCGAGCAACGCCGCGUGCGGGAUGAAGGCCCUUGGGUUGUAAACCGCUGUCAGGGGGGAGUGAAAGCGCAAGCUUGACAGAGCCCCAGAGGAAGCACGGGCUAAGUUCGUGCCAGCAGCCGCGGUAAAGUGUG